rnacentral:rRNA from 1 species
UACGGAGGGGGCUAGCGUUGUUCGGAAUUACUGGGCGUAAAGCGCACGUAGGCGGACUGGAAAGUCAGAGGUGAAAUCCCAGGGCUCAACCUUGGAACUGCCUUUGAAACUCCCGGUCUUGAGGUCGAGAGAGGUGAGUGGAAUUCCGAGUGUAGAGGUGAAAUUCGUAGAUAUUGGGAGGAACACCAGUGGCGAAGGCGGCUCACUGGACCGGAACUGACGCUGAGGCGCGAAAGCGUGGGGAGCAAACGGGGAUUAGAUA